CAGUAGCCACGGGAAUACGGAGGGAGCUAGCGUUGUUCGGAAUUACUGGGCGUAAAGCGCACGUAGGCGGUUAUUCAAGUCAGAGGUGAAAGCCCGGGGCUCAACCCCGGAACUGCCUUUGAAACUAGAUGACUAGAAUCUUGGAGAGGUCAGUGGAAUUCCGAGUGUAGAGGUGAAAUUCGUAGUUAUUCGGAAGAACACCAGUGGCGAAGGCGACUCGCUGGACAAGUAUUGACGCUGAGGUGCGAAAGCGUGGGGAGCAAACAGGAUUAGAUACCCCAGUAGUCCCUGUCUCUUAUAC
rnacentral:rRNA from 1 species